AAAGAGUGGAGAGAGGACAGGGAAAGAGACAAUGUGUCUCCCAGCUCCCAGUUCUUCACAAAGAAAGGCCCAAGUACAGAUAUGCAGCUUCAUCCUCAGCAGCUCUGUCUCCCCAAAUCCUCCACCAUUGAACCAACCCAGCUCUUAACUGAAGAAGCAGGGCUCCCACUUCCAGACCAAGGAGAGAAGAUGGCUGAUCGUGAAGUGAUGAUGGGGGGGUCACGUUGUUGCUCCAGCUGCAGCUAUACCUACUCAAUAUAAAAAGUGCGACAACUACUGGGAUAAUAAACGCCACAACCGGAGG